rnacentral:rRNA from 1 species
AGCGAACGCUGGCGGCAGGCCUAACACAUGCAAGUCGAACGAACUCUUCGGAGUUAGUGGCGGACGGGUGAGUAACACGUGGGAACGUGCCUUUUGGUUCGGAAUAACUCAGGGAAACUUGCGCUAAUACCGAAUGUGCCCUUCGGGGGAAAGAUUUAUCGCCAUUAGAGCGGCCCGCGUCUGAUUAGCUAGUUGGUGAGGUAACGGCUCACCAAGGCGACGAUCAGUAGCUGGUCUGAGAGGAUGACCAGCCACACUGGGACUGAGACACGGCCCAGACUCCUACGGGAGGCAGCAGUGGGGAAUCUUGCGCAAUGGGCGAAAGCCUGACGCAGCCACGCCGCGUGAAUGAUGAAGGUCUUAGGAUUGUAAAAUUCUUUCACCGGGGACGAUAAUGACGGUACCCGGAGAAGAAGCCCCGGCUAACUUCGUG